ACAAAUGCUUCACUCUACGUAUCAAGGAAUUAUUCCUAUCCGCUGCUGCUUCAUCUUUACCAAUAUUUGGUUGUCGCUUUCCACAAGCACGCGGCUAGACCCUCUCUCCCAUGCAGUCAACGAUCCCAUACCUUGACCUCCAGUGGACUAAUCCCUGCAAGAUGAAUGACGCUUGAGGUCGAGAGAUACAGUGUGCAAAUCUGUUCCAAUCCCAAUUGCCUUUAAUAUUAGUCAUAUAACUCACCAGAGUAUUAUCCACCACUCCAGCCGAGGCAAUCAUGUGAUUCUCG
rnacentral:lncRNA from 1 species